UACCGGAAAUAUCAGACACCUCUAGCC
rnacentral:piRNA from 1 species